rnacentral:rRNA from 1 species
GACGAACGCUGGCGGCGUGCUUAACACAUGCAAGUCGAACGGAAAGGCCCUGCUUUUGUGGGGUGCUCGAGUGGCGAACGGGUGAGUAACACGUGAGUAACCUGCCCUUGACUUUGGGAUAACUUCAGGAAACUGGGGCUAAUACCGGAUAGGAGCUCCUGCUGCAUGGUGGGGGUUGGAAAGUUUCGGCGGUUGGGGAUGGACUGGCGGCUUAUCAGCUUGUUGGUGGGGUAGUGGCUUACCAAGGCUUUGACGGGUAGCCGGCCUGUGAGGGUGGCCGGCCACAUGGGGACUGAGAUACGGCCCAGACUGCUACGGGAGGCAGCAGUGGGGAGUAUUGCACAAUGGGCGGAAGCCUGAUGCAGCAACGCCGCGUGCGGGAUGACGGCCUUCGGGUUGUAAACCGCUUUCGCCUGUGACGAAGCGUGAGUGACGGUAAUGGGUAAAGAAGCACCGGCUAACUACGUG